GCAAAAGUACUGACAUAUUGAAAUACUUGGAUAAUUACACAGACAUUAUCUGCUCUAUUAGACAAAUAAAAGACGUUUUGCAAGUUGUAUAUUGGAACUUGUACUUAGCCUCCGACGCUUGACGCAUGGUGAACGACAUGAAUUUUAUGUAAACUAGUGAGAAUGCUGCCAAAAUUACUCGUGUGUCUUGAUAAAAGCCACUCAUCUUCGAUUGUGGAUUCACUCAUCAUUAGCAACUCCCACAUGAAUCACUCCCCAAAGUA
rnacentral:lncRNA from 1 species